rnacentral:RNase_P_RNA from 1 species
UCAGGUGGCUGGAUGGCUGCUGUUCCCAGCAAUGGGGGCAGAGGAAAGUCCGGGCUCCACGGAAAUACGGUGCCGGGUAACGCCCGGCGAGGGCGACCUCAGGGAAAGUGCCACAGAAAGCAAACCGCCUGGGCUUCGGCCAAGGUAAGGGUGAAAGGGUGCGGUAAGAGCGCACCGCCAUUCCGGUAACGGAGUGGGCAGGGUAAACCCCACCGGGAGCAAAACCGAAUAGGGAUGACAGGGGGCGGCAACGUCACCAGAUCUGUUUUCGGAUCGUCGUCCGGGUUGGUUGCAGGAGGCGUUCGGCGACGGGCGUCCCAGAUGAAUGGUCAUCGGCUCGGGCGUUCGCGUCCGGGUACACAGAACCCGGCUUACAGGCCACCUGACUUA